rnacentral:rRNA from 1 species
GAUGAACGCUGGCGGCGUGCCUAAUACAUGCAAGUCGAGCGAACGGACGAGAAGCUUGCUUUUCUGAUGUUAGCGGCGGACGGGUGAGUAACACGUGGAUAACCUACCUAUAAGACUGGGAUAACUUCGGGAAACCGGAGCUAAUACCGGAUAAUAUUUUGAACCGCAUGGUUCAUAAGUGAAAGACGGUCUUGCUGUCACUUAUAGAUGGAUCCGCGCUGCAUUAGCUAGUUGGUAAGGUAACGGCUUACCAAGGCAACGAUGCAUAGCCGACCUGAGAGGGUGAUCGGCCACACUGGAACUGAGACACGGUCCAGACUCCUACGGGAGGCAGCAGUAGGGAAUCUUCCGCAAUGGGCGAAAGCCUGACGGAGCAACGCCGCGUGAGUCAUGAAGGUCUUCGGAUCGUAAAACUCUGUUAUUAGGGAAGAACAUAUGUGUAAGUAACUGUGCACAUCUUGACGGUACCUAAUCAGAAAGCCACGGCUAACUACGUG